UAGUGGGUCAUCCUUCUUCUUAUAUUUGCAUCGUGUGCUCUUUGGAAUAUAAGCACAAUCUGUCUAAAUACCAGCGCUGAGGUGCAGACAGGAGCACCAUAUAACAAGAUUGUGAACCACCGACGCUACAAUACGCCUUAUUCACUGUUUAGUACUGUAUAAACAUUUAGCAUCAUCCUUGAUAUUGCCGCAAUUUUGAUACACGCUUUGCUUGCAGCCACCUCCAAAUUUUUCUUGAAGCCAAAGGUUGUGCUAAGUGUAAUUCCCGGGUAUUUUAUUUCUCCUCUUAAUCCAAUCUCCGUUCCUUGCAGGCGGAAUUUUAGUACCUAGUAAGCUCUUUUUUUGGUAAGCAUAACAGCUACUAUCUUCUCCACCGAGAGUUUAAGGCAACAGUUCUUCAUCCACAUUGCAACUUCUAGCACCAAGUAGUACUACCCGUUGCUAUAAUCGUAAAAGCCACUAGUUUUGCACUAGAGGUCCCAUUAUUGUUCCAUAGCAGCUCUAGCUUGGGAAAACCGUCGUAUAUUACGUUUAAUAAUGUUCUUCCCGUAGGCUAGGGUUCUUUCACACAAAUAUCUAUUCAGGAUUCGGGAAGGUGUUCAGAAACUUGUUUACUUCUUACUCAAUCAUCGAUUCUGACCCUAUAUGCCAUGUUGAAGGCAUUUGCUACGUCUAGUGAUACCACUGCGCAGAGUUUUCUCUUAUAAGUUGAUUCCCUCCUUGUUGAAUUCGCAAUGUUCAUUAUACUUAGCUUGGCUUUUUUCGUAGACUUAUGUUUCUUAUAGCCGUAUUGGUAAUCACUCAAUCCAUCGGUUACUUCUAGGUAGGUUUCAAGUCUUUCCUUUAAA